GAACGCUUACGAGGGUUUCGGCCCUUGUGGGAGUGGCGCACGGGUGAGUAGCGCGUGGGAACCUGCCCCUUUGUGGGGGAUAACCGAGGGAAACUUCGGCUAAUACCGCAUGCGCCCGGAGUGAUCCGGGGAAAGAUUUAUCGCAGAGGGAGGGGCCCGCGUCGGAUUAGCUGGUUGGUGGGGUAACGGCCUACCAAGGCGAUGAUCCGUAGCUGGUCUGAGAGGAUGAUCAGCCACACUGGGACUGAGACACGGCCCAGACUCCUACGGGAGGCAGCAGUGGGGAAUAUUGGACAAUGGGCGCAAGCCUGAUCCAGCAAUGCCGCGUGAGUGAUGAAGGCCUUAGGGUUGUAAAGCUCUUUCGGCGGGGACGAUGAUGACGGUACCCGCAGAAGAAGCCCCGGCUAACUUCGUG
rnacentral:rRNA from 1 species